GACGAACCGAGCGAACGUUGUUCGGAAUCACUGGGCUUAAAGGGCGCGUAGGCGGGUGCUCAAGUCCGGGGUGAAAUCCUCCAGCUCAACUGGAGAACUGCCUCGGAUACUGGGUGUCUCGAGGGUGGUAGGGGUAUGCGGAACUAUCGGUGGAGCGGUGAAAUGCGUUGAUAUCUACAGGAACUCCGGUGGCGAAAGCGGCGCGCUGGACCUCUUCUGACGCUGAGGCGCGAAAGCUAGGGGAGCAAACGGG
rnacentral:rRNA from 1 species